ensembl:lncRNA
CUCUUACGGUGUUUUUUUGAAGAUUAAACCCUUUGUAAACAUCAGUUCCUGAGAGUAAAGAGCAUCUGUUCAGCUGGAAAGCGCUUUACCUAGAAAAAACAACAGCCUCACUUCAUCAGUCCUACCACACAUCUGAAAGCUAUUUAAUGACAACCAAAGGACUUGGUGGGAUGAUCUAAGUCGGUGGCACUUCUUUAAAGAAAAUGGAUGCUUCUGAAAAUAAAGAACCAGACCAGCAUGUGGAGGCCCCUUAUAAUGGAACGGAAGAGGAGGAGCUUCAUCGAUCUGGACAACAACGGAAAAGAUGUGUGUAUUUAAAGAAGGUGAGGCCCUGAAAAAGGAGAAAAGAUUGAUUCAGCUGUACGAACAAUGGAAGGACCUGGCUCGCAACACAAGGGAAGGGCUAAAAACAGACGUUAGUGAGAGCCAACUGGCGCUUAUUAAUACACUUGAAAAGGGCAGGGAUGAUGUCAUGCACGUCUACCUGGAAAUUAGAGAUUACAUCGCUCCAUCCAGCUGAAUUAGCAGCCAAAGAAGCGGAAUACUCGAUACAAGAGAUCGAAGCUCAGAAGUUUGAACUGGAAAAACUUAAGGCAGAGAAGGAUCUAAAAGCAGCUAGAGCCAGACUGCAGGCCUAUGAUCAAGAAAUGGCACAAGAAGACAGCAUUCAUUCUUCAGAUUCAAAUUUAGGGGAACAGCAGGAUAGCUUAUUGUGAAAUGAGUCCUGCAAAGGAAAUAGCACAGCAGUUCUUCCUAGCCGCCUUCUCAGAGAAGAAACCUCCUGUUUCAUUCAAAAAUCCCACACACACACACCACAAAGGCUAUCAGUUACACUUCAUUUAACUCUCAUCUUGCACCAGAUUAGCAACCUCUGAACCCCCUUUACUUAAGCCCUUGUACACUUUGUUACAUGCAUGUUCUGCCAUAAUUGUACUAUUCAUUUCAUCUAAUUUCUACACAAUAAUUAAUGACCAUUGUUCGUCUCUGUUAGUUGUACAUAGAGCACAAGAUAAUGGUCCAAAAUUCAUUUAAGUUACAUGUACAUUUGUGAGAUAAUUUGAAAUGUAACAUGAAUUGUAAUCUUGCUGUUGUUUUUUUCAGGACUGUGAAUGUGACGUACCCCAAAUUUCCAUCGGAUUCUGAAUGUGUUGGCAGAAGACAGCCAGGAAUCUCCAUUUGGAUGGUUUUUACAGCUCAAGUACAACUUUGAUUUUAUUCUUCAACUUUGAGUCUUUCUUUUCAUUGGAAACAAAUAUCUGAAACCAAAACUACAGCAACUAAAAAUCUGCUGAUGAUGAAAAUCAAGGCUGUUUGAGAUUUAGAAAACCUAAAAAUGUUAAUGCUGUCAUUUUGUUUACCCUCAUGUCAUUCCAAGCCCAUAAGACAUUGGUUUGACUUCUUGGUCUUUGAAACAACAAGGUCCAGGUAACCAAAACUUAAAAUAUAUAUAUAAAAAAAAAAUCACUAAGGUGUAUUUAAACUAAUCGUAUCCAGUCAGUUAAAAAUCUGAAGAAAUUAAAAUCUUUUGGUUACCUGCACUUUCAGUGAAGGAACAGAAAUCUAAGGUUUCCUUAAAAGUAGUCUUUGAAAGAAAGACAGACUAAUCUUGUGGGUUUGGAAUGACACGAGGGAAAGUGAAUUUUCAGUUUUGGGUGAAAUAUCCCUUUAAGCUUGUGUUUGCACAAACAUUUUAAUUUUAACUGAUCUUAUACAUUGAACAAGGGUUGAAAAUGUUUUUUUCUAACUUAGAACAAUGUUAUAUAGGGAUUUUUUUUUUUUUUUUUUUAAAAAAAUUUUCCAAUAAACUUAUGUUGAGUUAGUUUAAGCUCAAAUAUUGUCAAACAGUCAGGAUCCCUGAUAGGAGUUUUUUGUAUUUUAUGUAGUUGCACUUGCAGUGCACAUUUUUGGUGCUUUUUGCUCUUCAGAAAGUAUUAAUCCUACAUACAUAUAUAAAAUUUAGCUGUGCUUGAAUGACAUUGUUUGGUACACUGUACUCCCUGUAGACAGUUUGGUUGUUGCUUUUUGUCUUUAAAGUUUUUAGUCCAGCUUACUUGCUAAUUAAGGCAAUCAGUUUCUUAAUAUUUUCCAAGUAAUGUGAACACUAAUAAAAAGUUAACAACUAAUUAUUUUAAGUCAACAGUACUGCCAUGCAAAAGGCAAGACUGUAACUUAUUAGUUAUUGAUAUUUUUGGGACAUUCCAGACAUCCUUUAUCAUGGGUAUAAGUAUCUAGAGUCAAUUUCGUUGUUUUGAGAAAAUAAUGGGUCGUCUCAACCGUAACUUCGAAAAGCCCCAGAGAAACCAAGGCAGAACACCGUAUAACACCAGUUACGGCGCUUUCACUUUGUUUGGAACUCACAAAUUGAGUUAUGGCAUUCUGACUUUGUUUAGACACGCCUCAAUAUGAAGUUAUGGUGCCGGUUAGGAGUUAGGAGUUGUUAUUAUGUUCUGCUUUUGUUUUACUGUCCAUUAAAGUCUGCCACAUUUUAAUUACAGUGUAGACAAACGAAUUAGAUUGUGUGUUCUACCAAAGAGCUCCAUAUAACAAAUCACUGUAAACACUAGAUACAUUGGCAGCAAUAUGUAAUCGUGAAUAACCUUUAAAGAUUUUUUUUUUGGCAAUGCAGAUUAUUUACCAGGCUGUCACUUCUAGUUGGACGCGUGUGGACUCAAAUGCCGUAUCCUAGCAUCAGUCAUAAAAUCAGUAGCCUACUAACAGUUCGAAAUUAAAUCCAUAUCCUACCUUUUCUUGUAACCCGAUAAAAUAUGGUGAUGAACAUCAGAGAAGUUUAAUCCAAAAGUACUGAGCAUUAUUCUCAUUUGUUGGCAUUCACAUCAACCCACAAGUCGCUCUUUUAGGUUAGGCUAUUUCAUACAAGUCAAUAUAAAAGCAAUUAUGCUGUCUAGCAUUCUUUUACAUUACUGAGCAUUGCAAAUAAAUUGGUAUCCACUUAGGCACGGUGCCAGAAUUUUUCUCUCUACUGGUGCUAAGGGGGGGAGAGCAGGGGGCUAGACUAAUAUGUAGGGGUGCUAAGAAAAUAAAUUAUAUUGAUGACAUCAGAGUUACUUAAAUGGGGCUAAACCGGGGCCAUUAAAAAUUCUGACGGGGCUAUAGCCCCCCCCCCCAGCCAGCCCCGGUGUAGCGCCAUCAUUGUAUCAAUUCAUGUUUAACUUUUAGUCUGCUUGUUAUGGUCAAAAAAAAAAAACACCAACAGUACUAUGUGCAAUAGCCUAUAUGAAAUAGUCCAUGAUCACUAGAUAUUAUAUAGGUCACUAUAACGAUUUUGUAAAUGGUGAUCAGCAACCAAAUAUUGAUAACGUGGAAGUUACUGCCUUUUGCCUUGGUGUGACUUCUCACAUUUACAUAGGCCUACAAACUCUUUUACAUAAAGAUAAAAUUUCUGCAAAGAAUUUGUUAGGAUAAAUCCCCAAAUUCUGUUACAACCUCCUUGGUCUAGGGCAGUGCUUCCCCUGUCUUGGAGGCCCCCCUGCCCCUUUUGUAUGUCUACGUUAUCUAACACACCUGAUUCCACUCAUCAGCUCGUUAGUAGAGACUGCAAGAACUAAACUGGGUGUGUCUGAUUAGGGAGACAAACAAAAUGUGCAGGCCAGGGGGUCCUCCAAGACAGGUUUGGGAAGCACUGGUCUAGGGGUUAGGUGGAAGUUCAGAAUUAUAAGCCUUAAUUCAAACUAGGAACCAACCUUGUAGAGCCCCUGCCCACUGUUCCAAAUCAAUUCAAACUUCAUAACUUGAUUGAGCCAAAAAAUAAAUAAAUAAAUAAAUUAAAAAAAAAAAAAAUUUACACAAUAAAUACACAAAUAAUUGUAGGAUUCCAAAUAAAUUACACAAGGAAGCACUAGAUUAACCUCUGAAGGGAGCCAGGCCAAAAUAAACAAACAGAAUCUAACUAUUGUCACACAACUAAAAAAACCAUCUCCAAAAUAAUGUCAUCUAAAUAAAAUAAUUUCUAAACCUAACUCCUUAACUAACCAAACAGCCAGGAGAAAAGUGAUACAAAACAAAUGGCACCCACCUCCCUACAUCUCCUAUAUAAAUUAACACCUUAGGCAAAAGAAAGAAAAGUAAACUCCAACAACUACCAUUCUCCUGCACUCAGGGGGUACAGCUCCAAGAUCAACUAUAUAAAUCUCUUUUUGUGACUUCAAAACCACAGAAUAAUACCUCACAUUGUACACAGGUCUCAAAGAGAAGUAGUGAACAGUAAACAGGGACUCAACAAGCGAGACAUCAAGUUGUUUUCAGAGUAGCUUAUUUUCUGAGUUUCAGAACUGCACAGCUUAUAUCUCCAAUGAGCAGAAGAAGAUUCUCAUGAGCACUGAUUAUCAACAGUUGACACUCGUUACUCAUCCUAAGAGAGCGGGAACAUAAGAUAACAAUAUCAGAAUCAGAAUAAGAAUCAGAAAGAGCUUUACUGCCAAGUAUGCUUGCGCAUACAAGGAAUUUAGUGACAUAAGCUUCCAGUACACAGAGACAACAACACAGUAAAAAAAAUAAAAUAGAAAAACCUUUGUAAAUAAAUAAGUGUAUAAACAAUUGUGCUAUAAAUGAUAAUAGAAUAGGAUUGAGUAAGAUGCAGAGAUGUACUAGGAUGGAGGGGUAACAAAUAAAUAUAAGGAUAUUGCACAUUUUUAUUGCAUAAGUGGAGAACAUUUAACUGUUCAUGAGGUAAAUUGCCUGGGGGAAGAAACUGUUCUUGUGCCUGACUGUCCUGGUAUUUGCGGCUCUAAAUUGCUGGCCAGAUGGCAAAAGUUCAAAGAUGGGGUAACUUGGAUAUGAGGGAUCCAGAGUGAUUUUCUGAGCCCUUUUCCUCACUCUGGAUUUAUACAGUUCUUGAAGGGUGGGGGUAAUAUAUGUAGUCAAUAUGGUAGCCUACUUGGCUAAAACGUCAUAAUGUGCGUAGUUAAUAGAUUACAUUAGGCUACAGUGGUUUGAGCACGUUUGACCAGAGACAAGCGCAAUUAAAGAGCUGUGCUUAUGUGAUGGACGGGGCGCCGUCUUGAUAGGCGAGAAAGCUUCGGUAAAUGGCUCAUAAAAACGACGAGGACAUGAAUGGUUUUUACAAGUCAGAAUGUAAAAUUACAGUAAUAUUUCACAUGAAAUUCUGUCAGUGUGAGG